AGGAGGUCCUCAGCGACGACGGAGAGGCCUCCCCUGAACCCAAACUCUUCGUGGGUAACCUUCCCUUCAGCGUCGAUAGCGCUCAGCUCGCUGGAAUCUUCGAAAGCGCUGGAAAUGUCGAGAUGGUCGAGGUAGUUCCUUGUUUUCACUCGAAAUUUCGUAACUUUUACCUGAAAUUUUGGUGAAAAGUAAAAUGGGUUGGUGCUGGUUUUGUGUUUUGUGGGUUAAAUAUGGAGGUUUUCUUGCAGGUGAUAUAUGACAAGACGACCGGAAGAAGCAGAGGAUUUGGAUUUGUGACUAUGUCCAAUGUUCAAGAAGCUGAAUCUGCUGCUCGCCAGCUAAAUGGCUAUGUAAGUCUUCAUAUUUAAGUCCGACCAUUUGCAGAUAUAUUCUUAUAUAUGCGAAAGUGUGAAAUUUUGUGAAUUUGUAUGUUAUCAGUAGUUGUAUUAAUUAACAUUCAUCGAUUGUUCCGAGUCUGGGAGUCAUUUGGUUACAUUUCAAGUUGAGUACCCUGUUUAUUUUAUAGAACUAUGAGCAAGAGUUUCAUGACAUUAUCGUGAAAGCUAUUUCAUUGAUUGAUGUUUGAAAUUUGGUCAAAAUUAUUUCAUUCUGAAAUGGUUGUUAUGGAGCUUGAUGUGGAUUUUUUGGUGUAGUGAUUGGUUGAGUUUCGUAAUGGUUUUACUGAGUAUUGCCGUCAUUUGGAUUUAUUUCAUCCAUGAGAAAUCUGUGUAUUGUAUCUAAGCAAGACUUAAUGGCAUUUGGCAGGAACUUGACGGCAGGGCAUUGAGGGUAAACUAUGGACCUCCUCCCCCUCGGACUGAGGAUUCCUCUUUCAGAGGUGCCAGAGGUCCCAGAGGUGGUGGUGGUUAUGACUCUAACAACCGCCUUUACGUGGGUAACCUUGCAUGGGGUGUUGACAAUUUGGCUCUUGAGAACUUGUUUAGUGAGCAAGGAAAGGUUUUGGAAGCCAAGGUAGUUUUUGACAGGGACAGUGGCAGAUCGAGGGGUUUCGGUUUUGUAACUUAUGAUACUGCUGAUGAAAUGAAC
rnacentral:lncRNA from 1 species